UUUCUUCUUGUGUACACGGUGGUGCACGAAAUGAUCCAGUAUUUGAUCUGAUGAUAAAAUCUUUAUUUCAAUUACAGUACUUGAAACUAAUAUACAAAAAGAAAGACAAUUGCAUGGAGAUUUAUCCUCUGCAAAUCAAGUGUUCAUAUAUGUCUGGCAACUUCUUCAACACACAUUUUGAUCUUGUUGAUUUCUUGACGGCACAUACCCUCAGUUAUUUCAUUGCAGGCCUAAAUGAUUAGUGCUCUCAAUUCUAUUAUUGUUUGUGCCUUUUUUUGGAAAAAUCUUUUCUUUAAGGAAUCCUGAAGAAAGUAGUCAUGUGAGUUUAAAUCAGGACUGUUCGGGGGCCACUUCUGUCCACAUGAAAAACAGUCAAGAAAUAGGUUUGAGAUGACAUGUGAGUCAAAAGUGUCAUGCAGAAAGCCCAAAACAACAUUCGCUGUGUGUAGCAAGAAGAUGAGGAUGCAAAUACUGAAGAAACUGCAAUGGCUAUUCUGGAAACAGAUUCUGAAUAGAUGUCAUCUUUGUUUGUUCUAAGAUUUUUCAUUCUUUAUCCAGAUAUCUGUGAGAACAAUGAUACAUUACAAAGGUAGAAAAUAAUGUUGCAUAUGUAGAGGUAUGGUAGCUCUGGACCAUUCAGUAAGCUCUCGAUGACAUCUCGGAAGCCCAUCUGACUGGCCACACGAUAUUUAAUUUCAACAUCUGAUAUUCCCAACACAAAUUUCUUCAUCUGCUGAGCCAUCUCUUGGGUAAUAUUUGCUUCCAGCUGAAAUCUGGUUGAGAAGAACAACACAAUUACAAGUAGUAUCUGUGCUGGAUCCUUUGCCACAUGCAAUUUAUUGCUCCUCCAAAUGUUCCUCAUUAUCUCUACAUUUAACAGCCAGCUUAUAAUGAAAUUAAGCUACAAGCAGAGCUGCUUUAAGGAAAUGUACUAUGAAGAAGACUUCUCAUUAAGAAAUGGCAGCCAUUUUUGGUCUCAAGAACUCCAGACUUUGGCAACAUAAAGAAAGACAACUUUAAUAAGUCAAGCCAAUAAUCUGCAAUAUUUCUGACAACGUUAUAAACAAUCUCAGCACAAAAACAUCAUGCCAUGAAACCAUAUUUGGGAAUAGAAGUAUAGCUCCACAUAUUCCUAACAUCAACACCACAUGCAGGCAACAGCUCGACAGACACCCUCCAAUAUGCACAUGCAACAAUAGGAUGAAUGUUCAUAGCUCAUUGCUAAGCAACAGUCAGCGCACAAAUGGACUGGCAGGAUAACUAUCAUGUGACUGGUUUUCUAUGGGGUCUGGGCCAUGACCGUUCUAUGCAACGGAUCGGUAAACAAGCCUCAACAACAGAUAGACUGUUUUCUGUGUGGUCCAUGCCAUGGCUAUAGAACGAGAUUCCCAAAAAUAACCAAGGCAGGGAGUGACAGAGUUGAGAGUUGUGAGUUCUCGGUAGGGGACAGCCACAGAAAGUUUGUCGACUUGUGAAGAUUUAAAGGGUGAUCAAAAGCUUCAUUCAUGUGUAAUACUUGGAGUGUGUGAUUCAGUGAGACUUAUAGUUCCUGCAUUUUAAUUGUGGUACCAGGAGAAGACCAGUGUGUGUAAAUCAGCAGUAGCUUUGUAUUUUAAUGUGAUUAAAAGAACUUGUAACCAAGGUGCUAA